rnacentral:rRNA from 1 species
GUGGGGAAUAUUGGACAAUGGGGGGAACCCUGAUCCAGCCAUGCCGCGUGUGUGAAGAAGGCCUUUUGGUUGUAAAGCACUUUAAGCGAGGAGGAGGCUACCGAGAUUAAUACUCUUGGAUAGUGGACGUUACUCGCAGAAUAAGCACCGGCUAACUCUGUGCCAGCAGCCGCGGUAAUACAGAGGGUGCAAGCGUUAAUCGGAUUUACUGGGCGUAAAGCGCGCGUAGGUGGCCAAUUAAGUCAAAUGUGAAAUCCCCGAGCUUAACUUGGGAAUUGAAUUCGAUACUGGUUGGCUAGAGUAUGGGAGAGGAUGGUAGAAUUCCAGGUGUAGCGGUGAAAUGCGUAGAGAUCUGGAGGAAUACCGAUGGCGAAGGCAGCCAUCUGGCCUAAUACUGACACUGAGGUGCGAAAGCAUGGGGAGCAAACAGGAUUAGAUACCCCGGUAGUCC